ensembl:lncRNA
GUCAGUAACCGGUCAAGUGCAUUAAGCAAAUUUGAAUAAACAAUUAGAUGAUCGGAUUUAACUACCUAAUAUUUUUAGGGAUUCCUGGGUUUUGUUUAGUAGCUAAUGUUACGUUGCUGAGAAAGGCCGACUGCUGAGCGCUAGCUAGAAUGCUAGUAGCCCUGUGUAACCUUGUUUUAUCUGGCUCCUAUACACUAAUCUAAUUAUUAGUGACAGAAGAAGCCACACGUCUGCCUGUGUCAUUAAUUUCUAUUUUUCUCAGAUCCAGGAUGAGUUUCCCAGAAUCUCAACGUGCAGCUUGAAUCAAAGUUCAUGUCCGAGCAGGAGGAACCCACUCUCAAUCUUCUCAACCUCUUCCACUCAAAGUGCAGCCAUGGAGCUGAGGCUGAAGGCUAAACGCAUCCCACUCAAGGAUGCUGGUGAAGACGCUGUUUCACGGGACCUUAUAAUACAAAACAUGAAAAUCUACAGGAACAAGACGAACACGUCGGAGAGUCCAGACGUCUGUAUCGUGUUGGAUGGACCAAAAGUUCUGACUGCACUGAGGGACUUUGCAAGGGCUUGCUGUCUGCUGGUUGGGUUUGCGUAUGCAGUCAAUCUUGCACACUCAAAGAAACUUAAACACAUUUAAGGUUGUCCAAGUUUUCUUGGGCCGUUUCUCAAUACCUAAGACGGCGAGAACGGACUCGCGUUCCCGCGAGAAUAGACUCGGGAGUCCUGACUCACGGGUACGGGAGAAUGGACAUUUCCGCAAUUGGAACAGCAGCUGACUUGAUGACGUCACCACAGUAGGCGGUCUUUGUUUACGCACGCAAGUAUCUCAUCUGCCAUCGCAGCUUGCUGAGGUGAAAUGCAUUCUGGGACAUAUGUCUCUCACAAGAACAGACGAGCCUGCUUCGAUGCAUGCCCGGUAAAAUGGGCGGGGCAAGUCACAUCGGGGUAUUAUGACUCUCGGCCAGAUGCAGACUUGAGAAUUGGAACAGUACUCGGGCUGUGACUGAUGACGUUUCACGAGUCCACGAGAACAGAAGUCCACACAAGAACGCAUAUUGAGAAACGGCCUUGGAGCUGGACUGUUCAAACCUUUGACCCUUGGAGAAAAAAAGGGAAUUGUUGUUACUGUUUGUUCAAUGCAUGUUAAUUAUAUUUAAGAUUCACAUUGAGAAGUUUAGGUUUGGCUCUUUCAGUUUUUUUCAGUUUUAGUGUUGCUAUCUAGUGUUAAUGCUGCUUUAUUUGUGUUGUUCAAAUGUAAAUAAACCAUGCUCAUUUAAUGCAGCUUUUCCUGUAUGUAUUUAUAGAAAUUUGCA